rnacentral:rRNA from 1 species
CUGAAAUAAGCAAGAUUACCCGCUGAACUUAAGCAUAUCAGUAAGCGGAGGAAAAGAAAAUAACAAUGAUUACCUCAGUAGCGGCGAGUGAAGAGGUACAAGCCCAAGAUGUUAAUCCGUAGUAAGGCUAUGGAAUUGUAAUCUAUAGAAUUUCUCAGAAGGUAUUGAUUCGUCAUAAGUUCUUUGGAACAAGACACCAUAGAGGGUGAAAGUCCCGUCUUUGGAUGAGUCAAGCCGUAUGAGGGGUUUCUAAGAGUCGGGUAGUUUGGGAAUGCUGCCCUAAGUGGGAGAUAAACUUCUCCUAAGGCUAAAUAUAAGAUAGGAGACCGAUAGCAUACAAGUACUGCGAAGGAAAGAUGAAGAGAACUUUGAAAAGAGGGUUAAAAGACUUGAAAUCGUUGAAAAGGAAGCAGUAAAAGAGAAAUUAUAGCCUGCAAAUUAAGCUAUUAGCGUAAGCUGGGCGGUGGAGGAGACUUAGCAGGAUCCUUGCCGAAUAGUGAAAGCGAAUGGUGUUUUGCAGGUGAAAGACAAAAUGACAUCCUUGCAUAAUAAUAAGGCUGAAAGUGCAUUCUGAAGUCCAAAAUUAU